CAACCGCCUAGGGCCUCCAAAAAUGUGGUUUGGGUCCAGGGCCUCAAAACUCAUAGUAAUACCACCAAGGAAGUCCAGCAGAAACUUAGAACCUGCAGGAAAUUGAAGGACACGGGAAGGAAAUUGAAGGGACGGGAAGGAAAAUGAAGGCAAGGGAUUGAUUCGACCAAAAGAUUUUCCACCGAUGAAAUACGUUUGAAAUCUGGGUUUGAAUCUAUAGAGACUGUAGAGAAGAACAUAGUAAAAAAUGGUGUUCAUUACUGAAGAUAUCAUCAAGCAAUUUGGAACUAUGAUGGAAAAAACUGAUCUGUUGACGAGCCAUUGAAGAAGACUUUUGAGGUUUGGCAUCGUUGCUGAUCUUUUUUUGCAAAUUGAUUUUCUUGAAUCCGGGUUCUGCUCUCUUGUUCUGCUUGUUUAUUCACUUAUUUAUUGUCUGAACUGGGGAAUUGGAUAUUGUGAUAGUCAAUAUCUAAUCAAAGAACUUCUAUGAUUUGAGAGAGGAUGUGACUAAUAUUUCAUAAAUUAAUUCUUGUCUAGUCAGUUUGAAUGUAAAAACUUGGACAUUGGGAGGGUACAUUUGAGUUUCUGAGAUAUCAAAAUUAAAGUUCUAAUGAAAAUGCGAUCUUCAGAUA